AGCUCAGGGGUAGAGCAUCUGCUUUGCAUGCAGAAGGUUGCAGGUUCAAUCACCGGC
rnacentral:tRNA from 1 species